rnacentral:rRNA from 1 species
CUACGUAGGGAGCGAGCGUUGUCCGGAAUUACUGGGUGUAAAGGGUGCGUAGGCGGGACUGCAAGUCAGAUGUGAAAUGCCGGGGCUCAACCCCGGAGCUGCAUUUGAAACUGUGGUUCUUGAGUGAGGUAGAGGUAAGCGGAAUUCCUAGUGUAGCGGUGAAAUGCGUAGAUAUUAGGAGGAACAUCGGUGGCGAAGGCGGCUUACUGGGCCUUUACUGACGCUGAGGCACGAAAGCGUGGGGAGCAAACAGGAUUAGAUACCCUGGUAGUCCACGCUGUAAACGAUGAUGACUAGGUGUGGGGGGACUGAACCCUUCCGUGCCGCAGUUAACACAAUAAGUCAUUCACCUGGGGAGUACGGCCGCAAGGUUGAAACUCAAAUGAAUUGACGGGG